GGUGACCUCUUCCGUCUAGGGUGCUCAAACACCCAAGAGUAACAUAAUCCACACAAGAACUUGGGGGAAUCAGUUUUCCUUUGAUGGAAGUGUAGAUCUGGGUCUCUUCCUUCCAUCCCUAGGAAGACAUCAUGUUUGGGUGGCUUGGGUGAGAGAUCGGGCAAGAAAGCUUCAGUGCAUCAAUGGAGGAGAGAGAGAGAGGUAAGAGAUAAAGGGGAGGAAGAAGAAAACCCCCCUUAUAUAGGCCCCAAAGAUUUCUAACCGUUAUAGCAAAAAUUGCAUUGGGCGGUACAACCGGUUGCCGGGCCGGUACAACCGGUCAACCAUCGCUCUACAACCGGGCCAAAACAUGCAGUUAGCCCACAGGUGUAACCAGCCAUGGCUGCUGGGCGUGGCUAAGUCCCAAGCGGUACAACUGCUUGGAACACCGGUAGUACUGACUAUAAUUAAUAUAGCGGUACAACCGGACCACCACCGCCUAACAACCGCAAUGAAUCAGAACCGUGUCUAGUGGUGGACCGGUGCAGGGCCGGUACAACCGCCCAGCAACUGAGCGGUACAACCGCCCAUAGCAUCGGUACAACCGGUCAGUAUAGAAGAACAAAUGGUACCUGCAUACUUGACACCCAAUUAGAUAACAUAGUGAG
rnacentral:lncRNA from 1 species